CAAGUACAAAGAGAAGCAAGACCGNGAGGUGGAGCAAAUCUCAAAAAAACAAUCUCAGUUCAGACUGCAGGCUGCAACUCGCCUGCACGAAGUCGGAAUUGCUAGUAAUCGUAGGUCAGCAUACUACGGUGAAUACGUUCCCGGGCCUUGUACACACCGCCCGUCAAACCAUGAGAGUUGGCAACACCCGAAGUCGGUAGUCUAACCGCAAGGAGGACGCCGCCGAAGGUGGGGUUGAUGAUUAGGGUUAAGUCGUAACAAGGUACC
rnacentral:rRNA from 1 species